AGUGAACGCUGGCGGUAGGCCUAACACAUGCAAGUCGAACGGCAGCACAGUAAGAGCUUGCUCUUACGGGUGGCGAGUGGCGGACGGGUGAGGAAUACAUCGGAAUCUACUUUUUCGUGGGGGAUAACGUAGGGAAACUUACGCUAAUACCGCAUACGACCUACGGGUGAAAGCAGGGGAUCUUCGGACCUUGCGCGAUUGAAUGAGCCGAUGUCGGAUUAGCUAGUUGGCGGGGUAAAGGCCCACCAAGGCGACGAUCCGUAGCUGGUCUGAGAGGAUGAUCAGCCACACUGGAACUGAGACACGGUCCAGACUCCUACGGGAGGCAGCAGUGGGGAAUAUUGGACAAUGGGCGCAAGCCUGAUCCAGCCAUACCGCGUGGGUGGAGAAGGCCUUCGGGUUGUAGAGCCCUUUUGUUGGGAAAGAAAAGCAGCAGGUUAAUACCCCGCUGUUCUGACGGUACCCAAAGAAUAAGCACCGGCUAACUUCGUG
rnacentral:rRNA from 1 species